rnacentral:siRNA from 1 species
UCCUUGGAUUUACGGUAGCCA